AGCUCAAAUAACUAUCAUAUGAUAAAUACAUCAUACUCGUGUUAUUCCUAAUCAAAAAAGGUCAUUCAUGAGUUGCGUCUACGUUUUUUCUUUUUUUGUUUUUUCAUUCGCUACAUCGUCAGCCUGGUUAUUAAGCAUUAUAUAAUUGCUUUAAAGGUGGUACUUUUCAUAAAUGCCUAUGCAUUGUGUUGUCUGUCUGCCUGAUCAUCUACGCGAAACAACCACUCUCAAUUUGUACUGAAACCAGCGGGUGAUUGAUAUUUACGAUGUCAUCGUUCUUUGCAACAAGAAAAACUGAUCAUUGUCGAUCAAUGAUUCAAGCCUAUGCACUACCGUCUGCACUGUGUGCAGUUCUGGAACAGCCCAAAAAUUUUUGUCCUCCAUUUUUGUGGAACGGCUUAAGUAUAUCGAGGAGAGACUUCGAGAGCGGUAGUGGCUCUUGCGGUAUGAUAAGGACUUCCUUACUUAGCUUGGGUAUGCCAAAAUUGUAUUAAAUUAGAUGAUUAAUAUUUGACCUUUGGUACAAACCAGGCCGAAGAAUAAACAGCAUGAUGAUUAUCCUGCAUCCGACUAAUAUAACAAUGAUCCUACAUGCAAAAACGUGCAUUUUUGUGUUCGUGUGUCGAAGGAACCUUUUAAUUUUUUUCUUGUGCCCAAAAAUAAUAUUUAUUUACCAAUUCAUUUAUUGAUUAUAUUGUACCGGUUUUUCACUGUUUGUCAAUAUAUGACAUGCAUAUGUGCAACAGUUUGACUUUAUUAAGGGGUCGAACCGGUGUAAAGAGCAUCGCAUAUAUAAGCGCAAGUGUAUAUACAUACACGCACUCGCGAAAGUUUCAGGCGUUAAUGUGCGCUCUCACCCGAGCGCGUGAAAGUUAUAUGUUUUAGUAAAAAAUCAAGAAUCAUAAAUAUACCGUAUUUUUCGGAGUGAUUUUCAAUACAUAAUUAUGAAUACUUGAAAACCCAGCAAAGACUUAUGUAGCUGCCUCUUCAAUAUUUCCCAGAUUGCGAUAAACAAUGAAAACGCGAUAAAAAAUAUGCUGCUCUUUUUUUUACGCCGUAGAUGCCAAUGCGCAGUAAACAGCAUAUAACCCCAGGACAAUGUCAACGAAAGAAAAACAGGAAGAAAAAGUCAGAAAUUUCAACGAAGUUCAAAAGAAGAUUUUGGCAGUUGCGUGCGAGCUGCAUCUUUCGUUGAUAAAUGAUCGUGCCAGAUUCGCCAAAAGUUCAAUUGUAACGAAAUAGUUUAUCAGAGAACUGUAAAACAACUUAGAAAGUACUAUUAUAAUUACCGCAGUGAGUAUCAGCCACCUACGACGAUUUGAAACGGGCAACACAAGGAAAAAUCUGAAAAAUCAAAUUCAAAACUGAAAUGAUGAAACAAGUACUACCGACACGGAAAAAAACGAAAAUGUUUAUGUCGCCACUCAGAUGAAGCCAUUAUGGCGUACAAGUUGAGAUACGCCAAAGCUAAAGCCCUAUAUCAUGAGUUAAGACGUAAAAUGUUAAAAGAAUGCUGUGAAAAAGGAACCAUCAAGCUCAGCUCAUCCUUGAAUGCAAACGACGAGGCUCAAAUCUUCUUGACUUCUAGCUAAUAAAAUGAUGUCCUUUAAAAAUACU